rnacentral:lncRNA from 1 species
CGGGGCUGCCCGCUUUGGUCCAGGGCUGGGCGGGGGUCCCGGCCUCACCUCUGCGAUGGCAAGCUUCUCCUGGGCCACGUAGCCAGACACGUUGAUCAUCUCCAUCCGGUCCCUCAGCGGCUCUGGAAUGGUCUCCGUGACAUUGGCCGUGCAGAUGAACAGCACCUGGGGAGGCGGCAGGGAGGUACUGGAGGAUUGGCCCCUGCCGCCCCCCCCGGGCCCGGGCCCCGUGCAGGACGCACACCUUGGACAAGUCCACGGGCACGUCCAGGUAGUGAUCCAGGAAGUUGGCGUUCUGCUCAGGGUCCAGCAGCUCCAGCAGUGCUGACGAGGGGUCCCCCUGGUAGCCCCGGCCGAUCUUGUCCACCUGAAGGGACGGCAGACAGCUUCGGCCCCUCGUCCGGCUCCCCGUGUCUCCUGACCAGACGCCGCUGGUGGGAGGGCGCCAGUGGGACCGGACUGCGCCCAGGGGGAGGGACGGGGCCGGCCCAGAGCGGAAGCAGAAGGGUUCCCCCGAGGCUCGAUCGGGGACACUCCCCACCUGGUCAGCACUGCCCGGAGCUCUGGCCCAGGACGGCCCGAGGGACGGCGUCUGGGGAAGGGCACCGGGAACGGAGGCCGCGCUGCCCUGUCAGCUCUGAGCCCGGCCCCGUGCCCCGCCCUCCGUCCGUGCGCACCUCGUCUAUCAGGAUCAAGGGGUUCUCCGUCUUGGUCUUCUUCAGGCACUGGAUGAUCUUUCCCGGCAUGGCGCCCACAUACGUCCGCCUGGGGGGCAGGGCACAGCAGGAACGGAUGGCACCUCACCUGCCUGGGGCUGGUCACGCCGGCACCCGCAGGCCCAGCUCACAGGCAGGACCUCGGCGAGCCAGGUGCCCUCCAGGGGCCGCAGCGGAGGCAGAGCACGGUCACCCCAACCACCUGUUCGCCCCAGCAAUGGGAAGGCCGCCCCGCCCACCCACCCCCACCCCCCCGCCCCCGACUCGAGGCACAGACACAGACUUGAAACCGGGUCCCUCUCAGGGCCAUCCCCCCAGCCAGCACCUCCUAUGCAGAUGGUGA